AACGAACGCUGGCGGCGCGCCUAAUACAUGCAAGUCGAGCGAGAAGGUGUAGCAAUACACUUGUAAAGCGGCGAACGGGUGAGGAAUACAUGGGUAAUCUACCAUCGAGUGGGGAAUAACCAGCCGAAAGGUUGGCUAAUACCGCGUACGCUUCCGAGUCUUCGGGCUUGGAAGGAAAGCCGCACUGUGAGUGCGGCGCUCUUUGAUGAGCUCAUGUCCUAUCAGCUUGUUGGUAGGGUAACGGCCUACCAAGGCUUUGACGGGUAGCUGGUCUGAGAGGACGAUCAGCCACACUGGCACUGCGACACGGGCCAGACUCCUACGGGAGGCAGCAGUAAGGAAUAUUGCGCAAUGGGCGAAAGCCUGACGCAGCGACGCCGCGUGGGGGA
rnacentral:rRNA from 1 species